GGCGCACAUCACCGACCCCAAGGACAUGCCUGCCUGGGCCGACAAAGCGUUCUGCGAGGAGUGCCAGAAGUGGUUCAGGGACAGGAAAUCGUUUCAGAAGCACAACACUCUGGGACCGUGGGCGCGUCACCAGAGGCAGCCACUCACCCCAGAGGACAAGGAGCCAUGGGGUGCGGCACAAUUGGCAAGCCGUGAACUGACAGACACUGGACAGCACCCUGGCAGAACGUGUACAGAACAGGAGUCUGGAGGCAGUGCAGGCUGCAGGCCGGGCGGAGGCUGAGCUGCGGCCCCACGAUGGACGAGGUGUUUGCGGCCACCAAGACAAAGUGUUCGCUGAGCCCCGCCCGCAGCACACACCCGCCUGCACAUCCAGCUGCCGCCCCCUCAGGACACGCCCCC